UACGUAGGUGGCUAGCGUUACUCGGAUUUACUGGGCGUAAAGAGGGCGCAGGCGGCUUUUCAAGUCGGAUGUAAAAUCUCUCAGCUUAACUGAGAGAGACCAUUCGAUACUGUUGAGCUAGAGUGCAACAGGGGGAGGUGGAAUUCCCGGUGUAGUGGUGAAAUGCGUAGAUAUCGGGAGGAACACCAGUGGCGAAGGCGGCCUCCUGGGUUGUUACUGACGCUUAAGCCCGAAGGCGUGGGGAG
rnacentral:rRNA from 1 species